rnacentral:tRNA from 1 species
GUGGGUAUAGCUCAAGUGGUAGAGCGCAUGCUUAGCAAGCAGAAGGUCCUAGGUUCUAUCCCUGGUACCUCCU